GACGAACGCUGUCGGCGUGCUUAACACAUGCAAGUCGAACGGAAAGGCCCUGCUUUUGUGGGGUGCUCGAGUGGCGAACGGGUGAGUAACACGUGAGUAACCUGCCCUUGACUUUGGGAUAACUUCAGGAAACUGGGGCUAAUACCGGAUAGGAGCUCCUGCUGCAUGGUGGGGGUUGGAAAGUUUCGGCGGUUGGGGAUGGACUCGCGGCUUAUCAGCUUGUUGGUGGGGUAGUGGCUUACCAAGGCUUUGACGGGUAGCCGGCCUGAGAGGGUGACCGGCCACAUUGGGACUGAGAUACGGCCCAGACUCCUACGGGAGGCAGCAGUGGGGAAUAUUGCACAAUGGGCGGAAGCCUGAUGCAGCAACGCCGCGUGCGGGAUGACGGCCUUCGGGUUGUAAACCGCUUUCGCCUGUGACGAAGCGUGAGUGACGGUAAUGGGUAAAGAAGCACCGGCUAACUACGUGCCAGCAGCCGCGGUGAUACGUAGGGUGCGAGCGUUGUCCGGAUUUAUUGGGCGUAAAGGGCUCGUAGGUGGUUGAUCGCGUCGGAAGUGUAAUCUUGGGGCUUAACCCUGAGCGUGCUUUCGAUACGGGUUGACUUGAGGAAGGUAGGGGAGAAUGGAAUUCCUGGUGGAGCGGUGGAAUGCGCAGAUAUCAGGAGGAACACCAGUGGCGAAGGCGGUUCUCUGGGCCUUUCCUGACGUUGAGGAGCGAAAGCGUGGGGAGCGAACAGGCUUAGAUACCCUGGUAGUCCACGCUGUAAACGGUGGGUACUAGGUGUGGGGUCCAUUCCACGGGUUCCGUGCCGUAGCUAACGCUUUAAGUACCCCGCCUGGGGAGUACGGCCGCAAGGCUAAAACUCAAAGGAAUUGACGGGGCCCCGCACAAGCGGCGGAGCAUGCGGAUUAAUUCGAUGCAACGCGUAGAACCUUACCUGGGUUUGACAUGGAUCGGGAGUGCUCAGAGAUGGGUGUGCCUCUUUUGGGGUCGGUUCACAGGUGGUGCAUGGCUGUCGUCAGCUCGUGUCGUGAGAUGUUGGGUUAAGUCCCGCAACGAGCGCAACCCUUGUUCACUGUUGCCAGCACGUUAUGGUGGGGACUCAGUGGAGACCGCCGGGGUCAACUCGGAGGAAGGUGGGGAUGACGUCAAGUCAUCAUGCCCCUUAUGUCCAGGGCUUCACGCAUGCUACAAUGGCUGGUACAGAGAGUGGCGAGCCUGUGAGGGUGAGCGAAUCUCGGAAAGUCGGUCUCAGUUCGGAUUGGGGUCUGCAACUCGACCUCAUGAAGUCGGAGUCGCUAGUAAUCGCAGAUCAGCAACGCUGCGGUGAAUACGUUCCCGGGGCC
rnacentral:rRNA from 1 species